GGCCUCGUGGCGCAACUGAAUAGCGCAUCAGAUUUCGGCUCUGAGGGUUGGGGGUUUGAAUCCCUCCGAGGUCA
rnacentral:tRNA from 2 species